UAGUGAUCUAGAAUCAGCAAGAAACCUCUAAGGGAAAAUAUACAAAGCAAGUUUGGUGGAACAAACUACAGGCCCCACCUCUGAAGCUGACCUUGAAUCCUCAGCUGUUGCUAUUGUUAUCCUCUCCGGUGCAUUCUAAAGUUCCCUCACUCUUCCAAGAACCCUUGACUAUGCUUGCCUUGAUCGCUUAUCUAAUUGUGACCCAGAAUGUCAUCCCUGAGAGGUCUGACUUCCUGAUCACCAUGUCCUUCUUAGUCCAUGACCACUGUACUUGUCAAUUUUCUGUCAAGAUAUGGCAAGGAGGUACCAAAAGACACCCCAGUGAUUAUACUCUUCCCUGUCAUGGUAAAAACUGUGUAUC
rnacentral:lncRNA from 1 species